ACACGGGGGGCGCAAGCGUUAUUCGGAAUUAUUGGGCGUAAAGGGCGCGUAGGCGGUCUUGUCGGUCAGAUGUGAAAGCCCAGGGCUCAACCCUGGACGUGCAUUUGAAACAGCAAGACUUGAGUACGGGAGAGGAAAGCGGAAUUCCUGGUGUAGAGGUGAAAUUCGUAGAUAUCAGGAGGAACACCGAUGGCGAAGGCAGCUUUCUGGACCGAUACUGACGCUGAGGCGCGAAGGCGUGGGUAGCGAACAGGAUUAGAAACCCCUGUAGUCC
rnacentral:rRNA from 1 species